UACGGAGGGUGCAAGCGUUAAUCGGAAUUACUGGGCGUAAAGCGUGCGUAGGCGGUUCGUUAAGUCUGUUGUGAAAGCCCCGGGCUCAACCUGGGAAUGGCAAUGGAUACUGGCGAGCUAGAGUGUGUCAGAGGAUGGUGGAAUUCCCGGUGUAGCGGUGAAAUGCGUAGAGAUGGGAGGAACAUCAGUGGCGAAGGCGGCCAUCUGGGACAACACUGACGCUGAGACACGAAGCCAGGGAGCGAACGG
rnacentral:rRNA from 1 species